rnacentral:rRNA from 1 species
GGAGGUCCGAACCCACGAGCGUUGAAAAGCUCGGGGAUGACUUGUGGGUAGCGGUGAAAUUCCAAUCGAGCCCGGAGAUAGCUGGUUCUCCCCGAAAUAGCUUUAGGGCUAGCCUCAAGGUGAGAGAUACGGAGGUAGAGCACUGAAUGUCCUAGGGGGUAUUGCACCUACCGAAGACUAUCAAACUCCGAAUGCCGUCAUCUUAUACUUGGGAGUCAGACUGUGGGGGAUAAGAAUCAUAGUCGAAAGGGCAACAGCCCAGAUCGUCAGCUAAGGUCCCUAAAAGUAAGGUGAGUGGGAAAGGANGNGNGNUUNNACAGACAACCAGGAUGUUGGCUUAGAAGCAGCCACUCAUUCAAAGAGUGCGUAAUAGCUCACUGGUCGAGUGAUCCUGCGCCGAAGAUUUCCGGGGCUAAAACUUACUACCGAAGCUACGGCAUCAGUAAUGAUGGGUAGGGGAGCUUCCCAUACGGGUUGAAGCAUGACCGUAAGGACAUGUGGACAGUAUGGGAGUGAGAAUGUUGGCAUGAGUAGCGAGAUGUGGGUGAGAAUCCCACAGGCCGUAAACCCAAGGUUUCCAGGGGAAGGUUCGUCCGCCCUGGGUUAGUCGGGACCUAAGCUGAGGCCGAAAGGCGUAGGUGAUGGACAACAGGUUGAUAUUCCUGUACUACCGAUAACCGUUUGAGAGAAGGGAUGACACAGUAGGAUAAGCUAAGCACACUGUUGGUUAUGUGUGCCCAAGCAUUGAGGCAGUCAAAGUAGGCAAAUCCGCUUUGAUAAUGCUGGGGUGUGAUGGGGAGCGAAAUUUAGUAGCGAAGUAGCUGAUUUCACACUGUCAAGAAAAGUCUCUAUCGAGGGUAAAGGUACCCGUACCGCAAACCGACACAGGUGGGUGAGGAGAGUAUCCUAAGGCCAGCGAGAGAACUGUUGUUAAGGAACUCGGCAAAAUGACCCCGUAACUUAGGGAUAAGGGGUGCCACCAUCAGGUGGCCGCAGAGAAUAGGCCCAAGCGACUGUUUACCAAAAACAUAGGUUUCUGCUAAGUCGCAAGACGAUGUAUAGGAGC